AGCAGCCGCGGUAAGACGAAGGAUGCAAGCGUUAUCCGGAAUUACUGGGCGUAAAGGGCGUCUAGGCGGUUGGAUAAGUCAUUUGUGAAANNNAGGGCUCAACCCUGGAAGGUCUUGUGAUACUGUCCGGCUUGGGUGUAGGAGAGGAGAGCGGAACUCACAGAGUAGCGGUGGAAUGCGUAGAUACUGUGAGGUACCCCGAUGGCGAAGGCAGCUCUCUGGCCUACUACCGACGCUGAGGCGCGAAAGCGUGGGGAGCAAAGGGGAUUAGAUACCCCCGUAGUCCACGCCCUAAACGAUGUUCACUUGGUGUCGGGAGCCUAUAUUUCUCGGUGCCGGAGCUAACGCGUUAAGUGAACCGCCUGAGGAGUACGGUCGCAAGGCUAAAACUCAAGAGAAUUGACGGGUCCCCGCACAAGCGGUGGAGCACGUGGUUUAAUUCGAUGAUAAGCGAAGAACCUCACCUGGGCUUGACAUACUAGUGGUAGGAACUGGAAACAGGGACGACCCUUCCUUCGGGUUGGGAGCUAGUACAGGUGAUGCAUGGCUGUCGUCAGCUCGUGUCGUGGGAUGUAGGGUUAAGUCCCGAAACGAGCGCAACCCUUGUCGUUAGUUGCCAGCGGGUAAUGCCGGGGACUCUAGCGAGACUGCUGGUGAAUAGCCGGAGGAAGGCGGGGAUGACGUCAAGUCAUCAUGUCCCUUAUGCCCAGGGCGACACACAUGCUACAAUGGGAGGUACAGAGGGUCGCAAUACCGCAAGGUGGAGCCAAUCUCAAAAAACCUCCCCCAGUUCGGAUUGUGGUCUGCAACUCGACCACAUGAAGCCGGAAUCGCUAGUAAUCGCGGGUCAGCCAUACCGCGGUGAACAUGUACUCGGGGAUUGCACACACCGCCCGU
rnacentral:rRNA from 1 species